AGCUCUCCAGGCCUGGGCCAUGGAGUAAAGUGGCAUCACUCACAACAUUCACAGGAGUGAUGUGAAAGUCAUGCUCUGUGAAGUAUCUCACCCACAGCACUGUUUCCUGGGGCCCUCUUGAUCCCUAUUUUAAAAUGAGGAGGCUGAGGCAAUAAGGAAGUGGAGUCACUCCCCUGCAUAACCAAAGGAAGACUCAUUCCAGGGCCCUUGAGUUUCUGCAUUUUGGAGACCACAUGCAGGCUGACUCCUGCAGACUUUAUCCUUCUGGGACUGGCUAACUGAAUGAGCAUAACGCCCUUUGCAUUCCUGUGUUCACUGCAGCAUUUUCCACAACAGCUCAGAUAUGGGAACAGCCUCUGUGUCCACCUAUGAAUGAAUGGAUAAAGAAAAAGUGGCAUGUUAUUCAGCCCUUAAAAGAAGAUUCUGCAUAUGUGACAACAUGGAUGAGCCCUCUCCUUUGUUUCUGCUCUCCUCCCACCCUCAGCCAGGACUGCUGCUUCACCCCCAGGGCAGCAGCCAACCUAUGCUGGUUGGGAAGUACCACAUUCUACCAUUGCUUCCUGCUCUAUGGGCAGGUGUAGAAGACAUCACGGUCGUCUGGAUCCUCAGGGUCAUGCACACUCCACAUGGUGCAUCCGAGUAACACAAGGAGGCAGCUGUUCCCACCCCAGGCUGGCAGCAUCAUGGCAAACUCGACAAUAGACUCUGUAGGGGAAAUCUCAUCCACCCCUGGUCCAGAUGCCAAGCCCAGCCUAGAAUGCAGGUUGCAAUGCCAUAGGUCUUCUCUCUGUUAUGAGCUGGGGUGGUGGACAUGUGAGAGGAGGAGGUUGAGUUUCUGGGUCCCAGGUGGGGUCUGUAUUUCCAUUUCACACUGCAGACUACGUAGCCAGGCCUGGUGAUAAGACUGGGAUGUCUCCUUCAGCCUGGGUUCCUGUGGGAGGAUGAUGCUGAGAAGAGCCUUUACUCUUUACCCAUGCUCACCAAUAACAUGAGGGAGAAAUCUCUGUCAUUGUGAGCAACAGAAAUGCCUUGCUGUCAUUACCUUGACGGAACCUUGACACUUCCGACAUGCCCAGUGCCUGAGCUUCCUCCACUAUAUAAAUGGAAAUAAUACCGGGUGCCUACCUCAAAAUGCUUCUGUGGGGAUUCCCUGAAAUGCUGUGAAAUAAAUGACUUAGCAUAGCACCCUUUAUAUAUUAAAUGUGCACUAA